GCACUAUGCAAAUUAAGGAAGUAUUGAAGAAUGACUCUUGAGGCACUAACAUUCACUAUCCCUUCAAAUUAAGAGUUCUAAACAUAAUCACCACUGAAUAGCAUAACAAAAGAUUAGUAAUCAGUAGUUGAUACCCUCUAACAAUAAAUUGCAUAAAAUUGUGCAAAAAUAAUAAAGUGCAUAAAGGCAAAUUUAAGCUGCUGAUCCCAAAAUAUGGGGUCGAAGUACAGCUGGGCUCUACGCAUUUCAUCGGGCAUCCGACUU